AAAGAAUUAGUUUAUUAAAACAUUAGUAUGUCAUACUAAAAUUAUUAAAUAUAUUUAAUAUUCUUUU
rnacentral:tRNA from 1 species